rnacentral:misc_RNA from 1 species
ACUAGAUGGCGUAGGCCGCUGUGGUCGAUAAUACAGAGUUGUGGGUUUGAUACUAAAACAAGACUAGAUAUAAAAACUAUCAGUAAAGGUUAGUCAUACUUAAAAAAAAUAAUAAAGAUUACUAGCAGACUUUUAUUUAGACAAUUAAUUAAUAGAGGUAAUUUUAAAAACUAAACUUUUUGUUUAAGUAAUUUGAAACGGCUACAACCAUUAUUCUUUACGAACGAAAGAAAAACCUGCAAAAAUGUUUAAAUAUCAUUGUCGAAACUUUGUAAAAAUAAGCAUGAAUAAAUGGUAUAAGCAAAUUUUUCAGAUGGAUUUCGGACCGAUUGAAUGGCGCCCUAAAUUUGCAACUAAACAGGGUGAAAAUGCUCUCUGUGCACCAACGCCCUUCCUAGCUAUUAAAGAGGAAGAAAUGAUGAAAAAUAUGAAUAAAAUGAUGGAGUUGAUGAAGCAAUGGCCAAAUGUUGAUUUGAGACCCCAUUUUAAAGCCCAUAAAUCGGUUGAUAUUGCAAAACAACAGAUAAAGUUGGGAGCUGUUGGCAUUUGUUGUCAGACACUUACUGAGGCUGAAUCAGCUGUUUAUGGUGGCUCAAUAGAAGAUGUUUUCAUAUCGAAUGAAGUUAUUGGUGUAGGAAAAGUGAAAAGGGUUGUUCAAUUAGCCCUGAAAUCCAAAAUAUCCAUUUGCGUUGAUAAUGAAGAAAACAUAAAAGAUUUGAGUCAACUCGCUAAGGAAUCUAAUGCUAACUUAGAUCUUGUGAUUGAGGUUAAUGUCGGUCAGGAUCGAUGUGGUAUUAAACCUGGUGCCGAUGUUGUACCUUUAGCUAAACUUGUAGAAUCUUUACCGAACGUACACUUUAAGGGAAUUCAAGCUUACCAUGGCUGGAAUCAGCAUGUUAGAUCAGCAGCUGAAAGGAAAGAACGGACCAACACUGUUGCCGGACUAGCACAAAAAACGGUUGAGUGUCUGCAGUCGGCCAACAUUAAAUGUCCCUAUAUUACGGGUGGUGGUACGGGAACUUUCCCCUACGAAGCUGGAACCGGUCUUUUCACAGAAAUUCAACCAGGUUCCUACGUCUUUAUGGACGCUGACUACAAUAGGAAUCUGAAUGAAAAGGAGACUUUCUAUAGUGGCUUCGUUCAAAGUCUUUUUAUAUAUACAACAGUUCAAAGUAUAACUGGUGAUGAGAGAGCUGUUGUUGAUAGCGGUAUGAAAGCUGCUAGCUUAGAUUCUGGACCUCCCUUGGUGGCGGGAAAAGAGGAUUCAGUCAUCUAUCAUUCUGGCGGGGAUGAACACGGAAUAUUAAGACCGAACGAUGGCUUUAAAGUUGGACAAGUUAUUCAAUUAAUACCUGGGCAUUGUGAUCCAACUGUCAACCUUCACGAUGUUUACUAUCUGAUAGAUGGUAAUGAGAAGGUUAAAGCAAUCUUACCAGUAAAUGCCAGAGAUGCUGGCGUCUGAAAUGCUUGACAUAGAAGUAACAAACAAUUUGAAUAAUUUUGAUUAAUUCAAAAUACAAAAAGAUUAACAAUAAUAAUAAUGUAACUUCGUAAAGGAUAUUUGCAUGACGUAGAUUUAUUUACAGCUAAUAAGCCUAUAAAGAAUGAGAUUAAAUAUUACUGUUUGUUAUUUGGUAAUAUUAAAUGAUAUCUUGAAACUUAUAGCCAAAUGUAAUAUUACUCAGAGUGUAUUUAUACAAGAAGUCAUUUCAAA